CAAGUGAUCUACCUGCCUCAGCCUCCCAAAGUGCUGGGAUUACAGGCGUCUGGCCAUCUUCUAAAGAGUUUGAACCUACUGAAGAACUAUCUUGACUGUCUUGAUGAGGGAGCUGAAGAAAUCCUUCACUGGAGUCUGAGCGGAGACGAGAUUUCACCAUGUUGCCCAGGCUGGUCUCGAACUCCUGACCUCAAGCGAUCCACCCACCUUGGCCUCCCAAAGUGCUGGGAUUACAGGCGUGAGCCACCGCAUCCGGCCGAAGGCUUCUCAGUUUAAAGCCAUUGUUCUUUCAAGAUUUUGGAAGCAUUGCCCUCUACAGAAUCCACAGUAGUCCGAAGCUCUUCUACAGUUUUUGUCAAACUUUGAUUUUCCAUCUCUAACUUCAAUAAUCUACUUGAUGUCAACUCAUUCACCUCAUGGCCCAGGGAUUUCUGUGGUGCUAUAAUAUUGAAAAAUACACCAUUGUAUUUACUCUUUACCAUUUUUACUAUGUUUACUCUUUACUAUUUAAAAAGUUCAGUAUAUAUGCAUUGCAUCAUUUGAUCCUUAACUUUAUUAAAAAUUCAAUGAGGUUAUAUAAGAUAAACAUGAUAAGAGAGGUAAAUCUUUUUCUCCUUUUCUUUUUUUCUUUUUUUAAAGAGAUGGGAUCUCUCUCUGUCAUCCAGGCUGGAGUGCAGUGAUGCGUUCCUAGCUCACUGCAGCCUCAAACUCCUGGUCUGAAGGGAUCCUCCCAGUUCAGUCUCCCAAGCGGCUGGGACUACAGGUACAGCCAGUUAAUUUUUUUAUUUUUUAGUAAAGACUGGGUCUCUUGUUACUUAGGCUGGUCUGGGACUCCUGAGCUCAAGCAAUCCUCCUGCCUUAGCCUCCCAAAGUGCUGGGAUUACAGGCAUGAGCUGCUGCACCCAGCCAAGAGAUGAAUCUUUAACUUUUAAUGCAUCCACAGCAUUCUAGUGAAAAAAAGCAUAAAAUUUAGAUUGAAGAAACUGGCGUUCAAGCAGACCCAUUAAAUAUUUUGCUGAUACAAGAACAUUAGGAUUUACAAAUGAAAGAUGAGACCUACUAUUUCAAGAAAGGAAAUGAAUAAAGGCACUGGAGGGAAUUUCCAGUGUA